GAGAGUUUGAUCCUGGCUCAGGAUGAACGCUGGCGGCGUGCCUAAUACAUGCAAGUCGAGCGAACGGACGAGAAGCUUGCUUCUCUGAUGUUAGCGGCGGACGGGUGAGUAACACGUGGAUAACCUACCUAUAAGACUGGGAUAACUUCGGGAAACCGGAGCUAAUACCGGAUAAUAUUUUGAACCGCAUGGUUCAAAAGUGAAAGACGGUCUUGCUGUCACUUAUAGAUGGAUCCGCGCUGCAUUAGCUAGUUGGUAAGGUAACGGCUUACCAAGGCAACGAUGCAUAGCCGACCUGAGAGGGUGAUCGGCCACACUGGAACUGAGACACGGUCCAGACUCCUACGGGAGGCAGCAGUAGGGAAUCUUCCGCAAUGGGCGAAAGCCUGACGGAGCAACGCCGCGUGAGUGAUGAAGGUCUUCGGAUCGUAAAACUCUGUUAUUAGGGAAGAACAUAUGUGUAAGUAACUGUGCACAUCUUGA
rnacentral:rRNA from 1 species